GAUGAACGCUGGCGGCGUGCCUAACACAUGCAAGUCGAACGGAGUCCAGCCUUUAAGACCUUCGGGUCAAAGAGGGGAAGACUGAGUGGCGGACGGGUGAGUAACACGUGGGCAACCUGGCGCAUAGAGGGGGAUAACAGAGAGAAAUUUCUGCUAAUACCGCAUAAGCACACACUGCCGCAUGGCAGAGGGUGAAAAGAGAAUCGCUAUGAGAUGGACCCGCGUCUGAUUAGCCAGUUGGCAGGGUAAGAGCCUACCAAAGCGACGAUCAGUAGCCGAUCUGAGAGGAGGAACGGCCACAUUGGGACUGAGACACGGCCCAAACUCCUACGGGAGGCAGCAGUGGGGGAUAUUGCACAAUGGGGGGAAACCUGAUGCAGCGACGCCGCGUGAGUGAAGAAGUAUUUCGGUAUGUAAAGCUCUAUCAGCAGGGAAGAUAAUGACAGUACCUGAAGAAGAAGCCCCGGCUAACUACGUG
rnacentral:rRNA from 1 species